UGGGGAAUAUUGGACAAUGGGCGCAAGCCUGAUCCAGCCAUGCCGCGUGAGUGAUGAAGGCCCUAGGGUUGUAAAGCUCUUUCACCGGUGAAGAUAAUGACGGUAACCGGAGAAGAAGCCCCGGCUAACUUCGUGCCAGCAGCCGCGGUAAUACGAAGGGGGCUAGCGUUGUUCGGAUUUACUGGGCGUAAAGCGCACGUAGGCGGACUUUUAAGUCAGGGGUGAAAUCCCGGGGCUCAACCCCGGAACUGCCUUUGAUACUGGAAAUCUUGAGUAUGGUAGAGGUGAGUGGAAUUCCGAGUGUAGAGGUGAAAUUCGUAGAUAUUCGGAGGAACACCAGUGGCGAAGGCGGCUCACUGGACCAUUACUGACGCUGAGGUGCGAAAGCGUGGGGAGCAAACAGG
rnacentral:rRNA from 1 species